CUUCCGCUGGCCCUCACGUACAGUACUGACGUAUGACGUGCCCUCUUUGCGACAUAGCGUUCGUAGUGGGUUUGGGAAAUAUCAGGAUAGUUUAGGAACAAGCUAAAUUACACACGUGUGAAAUGGGAAGCCGCUUGGACUUGGACUAGUUACUGUGAUAAAAGAUCCUUUUCUCUUCUGUUUAUAUCUGGAAGCUUAACUAAAAGGUAGUGCAUCUGGUGAGAAAUGAACUACGAAUUCCAGAAACUGACAGCCUGGCUCUCACUGGACCAAAACAAAAAGAUGCACCUUCACUUUGUCCUCUCCUGACUCAAUGGAAAAUACCUUGGUCAUUUCUUUUCCUAACACGGUGAGGCAUCCAUGUUCACUGCUGCACCAAAAAAAAACAAAACUUUUUUUUCAUAAUAAAGGAAAGUUUAA